AGCGAACGUUUGCGGCGGGCCUAACACAUGCAAGUCGAACGCACUAGCAAUAGUGAGUGGCGCACGGGUGCGUAACACGUGGGUAAUCAACCCUUCAGCCUGGGAUAACGACUCGAAAGGGUCGCUAAUACCGGAUACGGCGCGAGAGGCUUCGGCUUCUCACGAGAAAGCCACGCAAGGGGCACUGAAGGACGAGCCUGCGGCCCAUCAGCUAGUUGGUGAGGUAAGAGCUCACCAAGGCUAAGACGGGUAGCUGGUCUGAGAGGAUGAUCAGCCACACUGGAACUGAGACACGGUCCAGACUCCUACGGGAGGCAGCAGUGGGGAAUAUUGCGCAAUGGGCGAAAGCCUGACGCAGCCACGCCGCGUGAGCGAUGAAGGCCUCGGUCGUAAGACUCUGUGGGAGGAGACGAAGAAGACCUGUGAGAGCAGGCCUGACGGUAGUCUCCUUAGUCAAG
rnacentral:rRNA from 1 species